rnacentral:rRNA from 1 species
AAUGGGCGAAAGCCUGACGGAGCAAUGCCGCGUGGUGGAUGAAGGCCCUCGGGUUGUAAACACCUGUCAGUAGGGAGGAAAUUUUGACCGAUCUACAGAGGAAGUCCGGGCUAAGUACGUGCCAGCAGCCGCGGUAAUACGUACCGGACAAACGUUAUUCGGAAUCACUGGGCUUAAAGAGUACGUAGGCUGCCUUGUAGGUGAGAUGUGAAAUCCCACGGCCCAACCGUGGAACUGCGUUUCAAACCACAAGGCUUGAGGGAGACAGGGGUGAGCGGAACUGAUGGUGGAGCGGUGAAAUGCGUUGAUAUCAUCAGGAACACCGGUGGCGAAGGCGGCUCACUGGGUCCUUUCUGACGCUGAGGUACGAAAGCUAGGGUAGCGAACGGGAUU